UCGUAAUACUAUAUAACGUUAUAAGUUAUCUCAUAGUAGUAUAUAACGUUAUACGUUAUAUCGUGAUAGCAUAUAACGUUAUACGUUAUAUCGUAAUAGCAUAUAACGUUAUACGUUAUAUCGUAAUACUAUAUAACGUUAUACGUUAUCUCAUAGUAGUAUAUAACGUUAUACGUUAUAUCGUAAUAGGAUAUAACGUUAUACGUUAUAUCGUAAUAGCAUAUAACGUUAUACGUUAUAUCGUAAUACUAUAUAACGUUAUACGUUAUAUCGUAAUACUAUAUAACGUUAUAUGUUAUAUCGUAAUACUAUAUAACGUUAUACGCUAUAUCGUA
rnacentral:misc_RNA from 1 species